rnacentral:rRNA from 1 species
UACGAAGGGGGCUAGCGUUGUUCGGAAUUACUGGGCGUAAAGGGCGCGUAGGCGGCGUGUCAAGUCAGGCGUGAAAGCCCCGGGCUCAACCUGGGAACUGCGCUUGAGACUGGCAUGCUCGAGUUCGGGAGAGGAUGGUGGAAUUCCCAGUGUAGAGGUGAAAUUCGUAGAUAUUGGGAAGAACACCGAUGGCGAAGGCAGCCAUCUGGACCGACACUGACGCUGAGGCGCGAAAGCGUGGGGAGCAAACAGG